GUAGGUUACAGUAGGUUGUAUCUCUCUAGGUAAUGCCAGUAGGUUACAGUUGUAUCCAAGUGGUUGUAUCUCUUUAGGUCAUGCCAGUAGGCUACAGUAGGUUGUAACUCUCUAGGCCAUGCCAGUAGACUACAGUAGGUGGCCAGGCUAGGGUAGGUUGUAUCUCUCUAGGUCAUGCCAGUAGGUUACAGUAGGUUGUAUCUCUCUCAGUCAUGCCAGUAGGUUACAGUAGGUUGUAUCUCUCUCGGUCAUUCCAGGAGGUUACAGUAGGUUUUAUCGCUCUAGAUCAUGCCAGUAGGUUACAGUAGGUUG